rnacentral:misc_RNA from 1 species
CUCUCUUUUUCCAUACGAUAUACGGAGUACACGCGUUCGAGCAUCAUGCUAAAGGUGGUGAGUUUAUUUAUUUGGGUCGCGGUGGCGACGUGCGACGCCGUUUUGAUAAGCGGUUAUAACGGUGGACAUUCAGGGUCAUAUUCCGGCUACACCGGCCUCGAAGGGUACGUUAACCCUUAUUCAUCACACGGCGUUUUGCCGACGGUUUCCGUGCCGGUUCAUUCCGUUUCUGCGGCACCUCCGAUCCCGUCCAUUCAUCAAGGAGGCGCGGGUCACGGGUACGCCGAUUACGAGGACGAACGCGAUUAUUACGCGCACCCGAAGUACACGUUCAAUUACGGCGUCUACGAUCCUCACACCGGCGACGUUAAAACUCAGCACGAAGUUCGCGACGGCGACGUCGUUCACGGAUCUUACAGCGUCAACGAACCCGACGGCUCCGUCAGGAUCGUCGAGUACACCGCCGACGAUCACAACGGAUUCAACGCCGUUGUUAAAAAAGUUGGACCGGCUCACCAUCCGGUAGCGGCACCGGCACCGGCACCCGUAACCAUACAGAAAUACGUGACCUUCGAUCACAAUCAAUACAAUCCCUACGCCUAUGAUAAGAACUACUGAGAGCUUUGCGUAUUUUGUUUUUUUGUUUUUUUUUUUCUUCUUUUUCAUCGCUGCGCGAGAUUCACCCGAGAAAGACGAGAUCAUCUGGACCGGCUCUACGGAAACACAUAUAGCUCUUUAUCCCGUACGUCGUGUAAUAAAAUAAGAUAAAAUUUA